rnacentral:piRNA from 1 species
UUCCUCUUUGUGACAUGGGUUCCUUGCC